CAGUCGAACGAUGAAGCUCUAGCUUGCUAGAGUGGAUUAGUGGCGCACGGGUGAGUAAUGCAUAGAUAACAUGCCCUUUAGUCUAGGAUAGCCAUUGGAAACGAUGAUUAAUACUGGAUACUCCUUACGAGGGAAAGUUUUUCGCUAAAGGAUUGGUCUAUGUCCUAUCAGCUUGUUGGUGAGGUAAUGGCUCACCAAGGCUAUGACGGGUAUCCGGCCUGAGAGGGUGAACGGACACACUGGAACUGAGACACGGUCCAGACUCCUACGGGAGGCAGCAGUAGGGAAUAUUGCUCAAUGGGGGAAACCCUGAAGCAGCAACGCCGCGUGGAGGAUGAAGGUUUUCGGAUUGUAAACUCCUUUUGUUAGAGAAGAUAAUGACGGUAUCUAACGAAUAAGCACCGGCUAACUCCGUGCCAGCAGCCGCGGUAAUACGGAGGGUGCAAGCGUUACUCGGAAUCACUGGGCGUAAAGAGCGCGUAGGCGGGAUAGCAAGUCAGAUGUGAAAUCCUAUGGCUUAACCAUAGAACUGCAUUUGAAACUGUUAUUCUAGAGUAUGGGAGAGGUAGGUGGAAUUCUUGGUGUAGGGGUAAAAUCCGUANAGA
rnacentral:rRNA from 1 species